GGGUAACGGAGCUGUUAAUCUUCAUGUAUACGAGUAGUUUAGUUUUCAAUUCAAAAUUAUUCAUCGCCAUGUCGAAAAAAUCCUUGGUCAUAUCUAAAGUCACCUUGGCACGAUUGCGUAACAAUUUUUUUUUAGAGCAAACGACAUGACAGCAAUGUAAACAAAUGCAACCGCUGUUUACCAGCUUCUUUCGUUAAGCUGUAGCCUUCAUACGGAAGAGAAGGCACAUAACGUGGCUUAUAUACCACAAUUGUUGAUGUGUUUGCGUUAUUUAAUAUCACGGGUGAGCUGUCGGGGGAGAGUGGUGGCUUCUGUCCCGCCCCGUCACCUAGCAAUACCUUAACGUAAAUAUUGACGAACACACAUACAGUUCUUUUUUUUUCCAUAUGAAUUUGGUGUUAGCGUGCGCUACUUUCCUAGCUGUUGACGAAGCAUCUCUUAUUGCUCGCUGGAGAGCCGGAGCAAACCCAAUUGGAAAUUGGCAUCGGCCUAGAUUUCCCGAUGGGGAUUCUUGCGAAACUCAUCCGAGAAAUUUAGACGGCCGACCCGAGUUUCGGGUAGGCCACGAACCUACUUUUGAAGGUCGGGCUUCCUACGUAAUCUAGCAAUGGACUUCAUAUGAAAGGCCGUGUAUAUGAGUAAUUUCUAUUCCGUUUACGUUGGGUCGUUGUGUUUUGUGUUUUGUAUCGUUAAUCUCGUUGCUUCUCCGCGUGUGGAACUUAUUUUUACGGAAAUAAUGGUCAGUUUCUACACAGACAACUAGGGGCCCUCACUCCGUUCGGGAAGUUCAUCCCGAUAGGGUUGCUCUUGAAUCACGGCAACCGUAUAUACUCUGAAAAACUACAUAUCGCACUACAUGUUACACAGUAUAAUCAAAACUGACUGCUAAUUUCGAUUAAGUAAAUGGAUUCCUCGUUAAAUUAGCCGAUAAAAAAAAACGAAAAUAAAGUAUUGUUACCACCCCAA